UACGUAGGGUGCGAGCAUUGUCCGGAAUUAUUGGGCGUAAAGGGCUCGUAGGCGGUUCGUCGCGUCGGCUGUGAAAACCCGGAGCUCAACUCCGGGCCUGCAGUCGAUACGGGCGGACUCGAGUUCGGCAGGGGAGACUGGAAUUCCUGGUGUAGCGGUGAAAUGCGCAGAUAUCAGGAGGAACACCGGUGGCGAAGGCGGGUCUCUGGGCCGAUACUGACGCUGAGGAGCGAAAGCGUGGGGAGCGAACAGG
rnacentral:rRNA from 1 species